rnacentral:ncRNA from 2 species
AGAUAAUCAAUUGCAUAUGCUUGUAUAAGUUCAUAAUCUGGAUGAACGUUUCUACCAACUGCCAUAAUAGUUGACUACAGGUUUUUGUCUAUCGACA